AACCUACGGGGGGCAGCAGUGGGGAAUAUUGCACAAUGGGGGGAACCCUGAUGCAGCGACGCCGCGUGAGUGAAGAAGUAUCUCGGUACGUAAAGCUCUAUCAGCAGGGAAGAAAAUGACGGUACCUGACUAAGAAGCCCCGGCUAACUACGUGCCAGCAGCCGCGGUAAUACGUAGGGGGCAAGCGUUAUCCGGAUUUACUGGGUGUAAAGGGAGCGUAGACGGCAGCACAAGUCUGGAGUGAAAUCCCG
rnacentral:rRNA from 1 species